GUGCUUGCUUUGGCAGCACACAUACUAAAACUGGAACGAUACAGAGAAGAUUGGCAUGGCGCCUGCGCAAGGAUGACACGCAAAUUCGUGAAGUGUUCCAUAUUUUU